UACGAGAGGUGCAAGCGUUAUUCGGAAUUACUGGGCGUAAAGGGUGCGUAGACGGUUUUUUAAGUCUUUUGUUUAAGACCCUGGCCUAACUAGGGAACAGCAAGAGAUACUGAUAGACUAGAGGAUGGAAGAGAGAAGCGGAAUUCUCGGAGUAGCGGUUAAAUGCGUAGAUCUCGAGAGGAACACCGAUGGCGAAAGCAGCUUCUUGGUCCAUAUCUGACGUUGAGGCACGAAAGCGUGGGGAGCAAAC
rnacentral:rRNA from 1 species